rnacentral:rRNA from 1 species
ACGAACCGUGCGAACGUUGUACGGAAUCACUGGGCUUAAAGGGCGCGUAGGCGGGCCUUCAAGUCCGGGGUGAAAUCCUCCAGCCUAACUGGAGAAGAGCCUCGGAGACUGAGGGCCUCGAGGGAGGUAGGGGCAAGCGGAACUAUGGGUGGAGCGGUGAAAUGCAUUGAUAUCCAUAGGAACUCCGGUGGCGAAGGCGGCUUGCUGGACCUCUUCUGACGCUGAGGCGCGACAGCGUGGGGAGCAAACAGGA